rnacentral:lncRNA from 1 species
GGGCAGUAUGGGGUCAGUGGGAGCCAAUAGAGUCAAUGGGUCGCUAUGGGUCCCUAUGGGGUCUCUAUGUGUCCCUAUGGGGUCUCUAUGGGUCCCUAUGGGGUCUCUAUGUGUCCCUAUGGGGUCUCUAUGGUUCCCUAUGGGUCUCUAUGGGGUCUCUAUGGGUCCCUAUGGGUCCCUAUGGGGUCUCUAUGGUUCCCUAUGGGGUCGCUAUGGGUCUCUAUGGGGUCUAUGUGUCCCUAUGGGGUCUCUAUGGGUCUCUAUGGGUCUCUAUGGGGUCGCUAUCGGUCACCAUGUGUCUCUAUGGGUCCCUAUGGGUCCCUAUGGGGUCUCUAUGGGGUCUCUAUGGGUCUCUAUGGAUCCCUAUGGGGUCCCUAUGUGUCCCUAUGGGUCUCUAUGGGUCUCUAUGGGGUCUCUAUGGAUCCCUAUGGGGUCUCUAUGGGUCUCUAUGGGGUCGCUAUUGGUCACCAUGUGUCUCUAUGGGUCUCUAUGGGUCCCUAUGGGUCCCUAUGGGGUCCCUAUGGGGUCUCUAUGGGUCUCUAUGGGGUCGCUAUGGGUCCAUACCUCGUUAUAGUCCAAUGACGAGUCGUUACACAGGGCACAGAUUGUGGCUCUAUGGGUCUCUAUGGAUCUCUAUGGAUCUCUAUGGGUCUCUAUGUGUCCCUAUGGGUCUCUAUGGGUCUGUAUGGGUCCCUAUGGGGUCUCUAUGGGGUCGCUAUGGGUCCAUACCUCGUUAUAAUCCAAUGACGAGUCGUUACACAGGGCACAGAUUGUGGCUCUAUGGGUCUCUAUGGGUCUCCAUGGGGUCUCUAUGGGUCUCUAUGGGGUCUCUAUGUGUCCCUAUGGGCCCCUAUGGGUCCCUAUGGGUCCCUAUGGGGUCUCUAUGGGUCUCUAUGGGUCCAUACCUCGUUAUAGUCCAAUGACGAGUCGUUACACAGGGCACAGAUUGUGGCUCUAUGGGUCCUUAUGGGUCCCUAUGGGUCUCUAUGUGUCCCUAUGGGUCCCUAUGGUUCCCUAUGGGUCCCUAUGGGGUCUCUAUGGGUCUCUAUGGGUCCCUAUGGGUCCCUAUGGGUCUCUAUGGGUCGCUAUGGGUCCGUACCUCGUUAUAGUCCAAUGACGAGUCGUUACACAGGGCACAGAUUGUGGCUCUAUGGGUCUCUAUG